UCUGUUUAUUUGGGCAUUUGCUCUAGGGGCCGCUCUGUAUUUUCGUAAAGUGGGCCGCUCCUGAUCUAUAAUGUUUAUUUCAAACUGCCUGUGGGCUCUAGGACCGCUCCUCCGUCCCAGCUACCACUGUGGCUCCGCCCCUUCCACUCGUCUCCGUUCUCAUGCGGUGCUGUGUGCAGGCCUGCCUGCCUGCCAUCAGGGGGGAACAAGGAAGAUAGUUUUGGGCCAGGCAGGAUUUAAGCUCAAAGGGAGGCCUGCUGUGCUGCUCUUUCAGGAUUAGCCGGCCCCCCUUACGAGCGUGGACAUCACUGGUGCCGAAGACGGAAGUACAGGAACUGAUGUGCAGCGAAUGAGCAUCUGUAGAAGUGAAAUGCGGUCUGCAGCACUCCAUUGGCUCCGGCACUGUCUCAUUUGCAAGCAGCAUGGGAAGGAGGUGAUACACGGGGUAAUGACUGGGAGUUAACGGUCUGCAGAAAUACACCCUGAAAAAACACAAGCAGGUCUGAGUUAAUUCGUUUUGUAAGAAGCCAUUCCAGCAGCACAAGCACAGCGACAAAGUACUAGCAAAGAGAAAUAGAGUUCACAGAUAGCGCUGGGAAUUUUAUUUCCCAUACAGCUGGAAUUAGUGACCCAAUAAUGUUACAGGGAGAGAUGCUCGGUAAAUUGCACAUAUAUAGCACUUGCAUAGGACAAUUAUUAUGUGUUAUUAUGUUAACCUGUAUCAUUUAAUAUUUGACAAAAUUGAACACAGGUCUCUGAAUACGUUAAAAAAAUUACAUUAUUUUCAUUAAAAAUGUUUGCAUUCGGCAGAUGUGAAAUCA